rnacentral:rRNA from 1 species
GACGAACGCUGGCGGCGUGCUUAACACAUGCAAGUCGAACGAUGAAGCCGGAGCUUGCUCUGGUGAAUUAGUGGCGAACGGGUGAGUAACACGUGAGUAACCUGCCCUUGACUCUGGAAUAACUGCUAGAAAUGGUAGCUAAUACCGGAUACGACCCUCGGAGGCAUCUUCAGGGGGUGGAAAGAAUUUCGGUCAAGGAUGGACUCGCGGCCUAUCAGCUAGUUGGUGAGGUAAUGGCUCACCAAGGCGACGACGGGUAGCCGGCCUGAGAGGGUGACCGGCCACACUGGGACUGAGACACGGCCCAGACUCCUACGGGAGGCAGCAGUGGGGAAUAUUGCACAAUGGGCGCAAGCCUGAUGCAGCAACGCCGCGUGAGGGAUGACGGCCUUCGGGUUGUAAACCUCUUUUAGUAGGGAAGAAGCGAAAGUGACGGUACCUGCAGAAAAAGCACCGGCUAACUACGUGCUAGCCGCCGCAGUAA